UACGUAGGGUGCGAGCGUUGUCCGGAUUUAUUGGGCGUAAAGAGCUCGUAGGCGGUUUGUCGCGUCGGCCGUGAAAUCUCCACGCUUAACGUGGAGCGUGCGGUCGAUACGGGCAGACUUGAGUUCGGUAGGGAGACUGGAAUUCCUGGUGUAGCGGUGAAAUGCGCAGAUAUCAGGAGGAACACCGGUGGCGAAGGCGGGUCUCUGGGCCGAUACUGACGCUGAGGAGCGAAAGCGUGGGGAGCGAACAGG
rnacentral:rRNA from 1 species